AGCUUCCGAUAUAGUUGAAAAGACUAAACAAUAUGACGCCAAAAAGAGGGAAGAUAGAGAUGAAAACUACAGGAGGAAAAACUAGAUCUGUAAGAAAAAUUAGUGGAGGUAGAUAAGAAAAAAAGCCAAUGGAGAAUUUGAAAUGCUGUAGAAAUCUUGGCAGCCCACAUCUUCAGAAACAAAUGCAAACACUGGAAUCUGUGUAAUGAACCAGAAAGAGUACAUGGUCUUGCUCUAUGCCCAAGCUGGAGUGCAGUGGUGUGAUCACACCUCACUGCAGCCUUGACCUCCCAGCCUCAAGCAAUCCUCCCACCUCAGCCUCCCAAGUAACUAGGACUACAGAGAUGCUCAAGCACUGAAUUGUCUUAAGAAAACAAGUAAGGUUUUGUCACCUAUCCUAUUUCUCACUGCAAGCUGAAAAAAAUCAAAUCCAAACACCACCACCCCUUCUAUGACAACAAACGGCUGUGGAGGUAAUCUUAUUUUUUUAAGGGUAGUUUCAUGAUGACAGUUUCAAAAAAUUACCGUGGAUAAAGAAAAAAUUGUCUCAAUGAAAUAGAAUUUUUCACUGAACACAGAAACCAUCUCAAUAGUUGCUGCUCCCUGGUUUCUAGGCCAUGCAACAGACAUCAAACUAGGAAGCCAAACUUUCACGGACCUGUGUUAAGAAAAACACACAUAUAUGGGCAUACUACUUUUUUUUUCAGAAAAACAGAA
rnacentral:antisense_RNA from 1 species